GGCUUCUUCCCUUUUCUCUCUCCUCCUUCAGCCAAACUCUCACCGCAACAUCCUCCCUUUCACCCUCUCUCGUCUUCUUCUCCUUCUCUACCUGCUGCCGAGUAAAGCCAAUUUUCUGUCUCUGCUGAAGCCUGAAAAAGCCUUUGAAUUUGUAGUUUAAGUACAAUAUAGUACAAAUGGCUGAAGCUUUGCAUGAAUUACUGCGACGGGAGUGCGAAAUCCUACGCGGUUAUGAACUUCGUCUCCUCCGCUGCACUGUCGCUCCUCCGCCGUCCUCACUUUCACCAUCCUCGGAUUCGAGUCAUCAUAAUAAUGAUGACAAUAUUAAUAAUCUCCACUCACUCAUAAAUGAACUUCUUAGUUCAAUUGAGACUGGAAAUUAUCUGCAAGCUCUCUUUUCUGAUGCAGCCAAACUCUUAACUCAGUUGCCUGACUUGCCUAAAUGUUCUUCUGCUGAACAUGUUUACUCUGAGUUGACGGAGUGUGUGGGGCUAUUUAUCAUGAGCGAAGGUGUUGAUGAUGAGGAGAGGGCCUGCAGGGUGAUUCUGGUCUUGUGUGUUGCCGUUGCUGCAAUUUUCUUCUUCACUCAGUGUAACAUUACUGGACCAAUAGAUGAGAUUCCUAGAUUUCCUCUGCCAUUCAAAGUGCCAGAAGGUGGAGAAUUUGUGGAAUGGGAGGAUUGGGCACGCAAGCAGCUUAUGUCUGGUGGCUGUCACUUGUUUGGGAAGUUCUCGAAUCUUCAGUUUAUAGUUUUUGCUAAAAUGUUGGUCAUGAAGACAAAAGACUUGCUAUUUGAAGGAACGGUGUCUUCCACAUAUGGAAUCAAAAGCAUUUCAUGGUGGCUUGCCAGGACCUUACUUGUUCAACAGAGAAUUUUAGAUGAGCAAUCUUCUGAGUUGUUUGAUCUAUUGCAAGUGAAUAUGGGCGAAACACUACGUCAUUUUGGCACUUUGGAGCAAGUAACAAGUUAUUGGGGUGCCAAUUUGCAUGAUGAAGAAGCUUCUAGUAUUGUAUCAAUGGUCCAUUUGGAAGCAGGAAUAACAGAAUAUGCCUAUGGACGGGUUGAUUCAUGCAGACUACAUUUUGGAUCAGCUCAAGCAUCAGCUGGGCUUCAACUAUCUGUCACUGGAGUUCUUGGCUACCGUACUGUGCAUCAGGCAGAGCCAAAGGCACAAAGGGUACUUCUUGUCAAUAGAAGCUCAUCAAAUAGUGGUGCUAGUGUUACCGGCCGUGAUUCCACAAUUAAUGAAGAAACAUUGCAUCUGCACCAACAUGAAUCCUCUGAUAUCCUUAUGACACCAAAGUUGCUAGAGAAUGGUGAUGAAUCUGGAAUUAGUAUACAAGGAAAUCAAAAAAGUAGUCUGGGUGUUGUUGCCCCUUUAACAGCAAUCCAGCAAGCAGUGAUUUUGGCAGAGUGCCUUUUGAUUGAAAAGAGCACUAGACAAGAUGAAUUGCAAAGGUGGGAUAUGGCUCCAUUCAUAGAGGCAAUUGAUUCCCAAUCGUCAUCAUUGUUUAUAAUAAGAUAUUUAUGCAACCUCUUGCGUAUCCGUUGGGAGUCGACUCGUAGCCAUACAAAGGAGCGUGCUCUAGGAAUGAUAGAAAAAUUGGUUGAGGGCAUUCAUAAACCUUUUACUGGAGUGGCUAACAGGAUUCUUCUUUCUUAUGUGGCUUAUGUUCCUGCUAUUCCAAUCCUGCAGAAGGAAUAUGGUGAACUUUUAGUGAGCUGUGGUUUGAUUGGGGAGGCAAUCAAAAUCUUUGAGGGUUUAGAGUUGUGGGACAAUUUAAUAUACUGUAACUGCUUAUUGGGGAAAAAAGCAGCAGCUGUUGAAUUGAUCAAGACACGGUUAUCUGAAAUACCUAAUGACCCAAGACUAUGGUGUUCAUUAGGUGAUGUUACAAAUGAUGAUAGUUGCUAUGAAAAAGCCCUUCAAGUUUCUGACAAUAAAUCUACGCGUGCAAAGAGAUCUCUUGCUCGUAGUGCAUAUAAUAGAGGAAAUUAUGAGACAUCUAAAAUCCUUUGGGAAUCUGCAAUGGCCUUGAAUUCUUUAUAUCCAGAUGGUUGGUUUGCACUUGGUGCUGCUGCCUUGAAGGCUAGGGAUGUUGACAAGGCUUUGGAUGGAUUUACUCGAGCUGUUCAGCUGGAUCCUGAAAAUGGGGAGGCUUGGAAUAAUAUUGCAUGUUUGCAUAUGAUCAAGAAGAGGAGCAAUGAGGCAUUCAUUUCAUUCAAGGAAGCCGUCAAGUUCAAACGAGAUAGCUGGCAGUUGUGGGAGAACUACAGUCAAGUUGCGAUGGAUGUGGGCAAUGUUCGUCAGGCUCUGGAAGCUAUACAGAUGAUUUUACAUAUAACCAGUUGUACACAAGCUGAUGCUAAAUUAUUGGAGAGAAUUAUGCUAGAAAUGGAACGAAGAGCUUCAAGUAUAGUGACCAGUGAUAAUCAUUCUACCAAUCAAACUUGUUUCAGUGACUCUAAUAAUGGUACUAUAAAUGAUUCAGAGAUGCAAUUUGGAUGGUCACACGAAACUGAGCAGUUGGUGGAGCUACUGGGUAAAAUACUUCAGCAGGUUUGUGGAUAUUUUUAUGGCAGAAGUUUUACUUUUUGUUCCUCUGUUCCAUUUUAUGCACAGAUUAUAUUUUGCUAUGUGUUAGUGCUACUCUUUGUGGAUAUUUGAGGUCAUAAGUUAAUUGUUCCUGUUGGCUAUUUUCUACGAUUAAAGCAACACGAUAUUGCAGCAUAGCUAUCAAUCCAUAUAUAUCUGCCUUUGAUUAGUAUGUUUAGCAUUCACAUUAAGUUACUUGGAAAUGUUAGAGAAAUCAGCUUUGACUAGCUUUAUUACUGUUGGUGGUGAUUUUAAUUGUGUGGUAUACGUGCAAAUUAUUAGCAUCCUAUAAGUUAUGUUGAAGUAUUUUUGUUCGAGAUACAGAUAAUUAAAAGUGAUAGUAGAGCAGAUAUAUGGGGUUUAUAUGCAAGAUGGCACAAGAUUAAAGGAGAUGUCACAAUGUGCUCUGAAGCCCUCUUGAAGCAAGUUAGAUCAUAUCAGGGAUCUGAGUUGUGGAAAGAUAGAGAAAGAUUUAAAAAGUUUGCACAUGCCUCAUUGGAACUAUGUAAGGUGUAUAUGGAAAUAUCUUCCUCCACUGGUAGCCGUCGUGAACUUUUUACUGCUGAGAUGCACCUCAAAAAUAUAGUUAAACAGGCCGAGAGCUUUUCAGAGACAGAAGAAUUCAGGGAUAUUCAAGCUUGUCUUGAUGAAGUGAAGAUGAAGCUUCAAUCCAAUUCUUUGCCAACUUGAGAGAAGGCUAAAACAUCCGUUUGUGAUAUUACAGGUGAUAAAUACAAGUAAACAAUUUUCAUUCACGAGCACACUAUCCUUUUGCUUUAUGUGUUUUUUCAUUCCAUCUUUAUUCUUUAUUCAGUUCAAAAUUACCGGUAUAUUUUUUGAAUCUUAAUAGAAUUUGUUGCCUGAAAUUCUUGCGUCUUGGAAUCAAUCUGCUACUACUACUCUUGUUUCAGCUUAUCUUUUUUGUCUGUCAUUUGAUGAUUUUGAGAAGCUUGCUUCUUUUACUGAAUCACUUGCAGAUUGAACAACCAUUCUCCCACUCCCCUUCCCUCAGUAAUAGAAGGAUCGUUUACUUUUAUUUUCAGGGGAGUGCUUAAUUUUUGUUGAAACACAACGAGGGACUCUUGUAGGUUUAAAGGAAACCUCACUUUUGGGCUGAUAGAAGAUUAGGAUUUUGUCUACCUCUCCUUUUUCUCCUUUUCAUUAUCAUGUAACUUAAUCUAAUAUAAAAUCCGAUUCAACUUGUAGCAUCUGUUUAUGUAUACUUGAUCAUGGUUGUAUAUUUAUUAUAAAAUUCAAGUUCCAUUUUAAUUUUGGUCUUAACCUUGAACAUCCAUGGCGGGGAUGGAAUAUGGGGGUUAAGUUAUUUAUUUAUUCAUCGAGCAUCGGAGAAGGGAGAUUUUAACAUUAUCAUCCAAUUGUUGUACCAGUGGCCGUCUCCUCGUAAUGAACUCUAUUAAUUGAAAUCUUUCUGUCCUGUUUGAUACAUGUAGAUGAAUCUUGAAUUUCAAAUUAUUGUGUUGCAUAUAUUAAAUUUACUUGAUAAAUGUGAUUUUGAUUUUGAAUAACAAUAAUAA
rnacentral:misc_RNA from 1 species